rnacentral:rRNA from 1 species
AUGAACCAUCCGCCGUCCUUUCCCCGGCGCCGGGCAUCCUUCUGCUUGUCUGACCGGUGUUAUUUUUGCUGCCUCCUCCGCGCGCUGGUCUACUUCUUCACGAUGACUAAUUCGGUACGGCGUCGCCGGAAAUCACCCAGCUUUCAGAGAACUAACUCUGAUGAAGGUGGUAGUCUGGACAUGAGUGAUAGUGAUGUCUCCUCUCAGUCAAAAUCUACAAGGAACAGCCGUAGAACAUCUCCUAAAAAGCUAAAAUCCGAAAUUAAGCAGAGCAUCAAUUGGAGAUGUGAUCCACAGAAGAUACGCGCCUUUAUGAAAGACCUAACUCCUGAACAGCUCAAAUGGAUAGAGGAAUUGGGAUUUGGAUCACUCAUCGAGAUGAUUGACUGCAAGUUACCAAGAAAGCUAACGAUAUGGCUUAUGUCAAAAGUUGACUGUGACAGCAAGUCUCUAGUAUUCAGAAACAGGAAGGUUUCUAUACUAGAAGCUGUUGAAAAUCUCCUCAAGUUACCAGCUCUUGAUAAAGAAGUUCCAAUGCCCAGGCCUGGUAGGGUUCGUGACAAGCCAUUCAGAGGUAAAACUGAAUUCAAGGCUGCUACAGCUGGUAGAGGAGAAUCACUAAACGAAGCGACAGCUAAGAUGUUAACGUACAAGCAGGAAGAAGACAAGGACAACUUUUGCAUAUGUUUCAUGGAAGUCAUUCUUUGCGCGUACUUAGCUCCAACAACAGGUUACCAAAUUAAUAGAAAUUACCUACUUGGAGCUUUGAAGGACUUGAGCGACAUCCCUCGUAUGAAUUGGUGUCGUUUUGCUACUGACUACCUGAUCGAGGGAAUUCGUGAGUCAAGGCAGAACAAAGUCCAGAACCUGAAUAUCGCCGGAUGCAUUCAUAUUCUACAUCUCAUAUAUGUGGAUCUACUAAAAUCAAAUUUAGUCAGCAUACCACAAGGUUACCCAAGGAUAAAAUACGUUGGCUCGCAAGUACUCAAUCAAAUAGAUCCUACUGGGAAAAAGAAGACGAAGGACCAUUGUCAGAUGUUUGAAAACUUCCUGGAUGAUGAAAAGUUAGCAAGGUUCCCACUUGCAGCAGAACCUGUUGAGGAUCUUAAUGAUACCGAAAAAUCAACACAUUCCACACCAACAGUUAGAGUGAAAUUAACUACUUCACCUUGCCAGGACAAACAAACAGUUCCUCCAAAGUUAUUACAAACUUCAAGAAAGUGUCAGGCCGAUAAUUCGACAGAUGAGACCUUGAUCAAACGCAUAAAGAAACUUGAAGAGCACUACAGAGCUGAGCGUCAGAAGUGGUCUACUCUCUUUGAACGCAAGCUUCACGAAAACAUCAAGAACUUGAAGUACAGAAAACCAAGGAAAUCGCAGCAUUGGUCCAGCAACAGAUUGAUAAGGCUCUGUUCCCGAUGA